rnacentral:tRNA from 66 species
CGGGAUGUGGCGCAGCUUGGUAGCGCAUCCGCUUUGGGAGCGGAGGGUCGCAGGUUCGAAUCCUGUCAUCCCGACCA